AUUGAACGCUGGCGGCAGGCUUAACACAUGCAAGUCGAGCGGAUGAGUGGUGCUUGCUCCAUGAUUCAGCGGCGGACGGGGGAGUACUGCCUAGGAAUCUGCCUGGUAGUGGGGGACAAGGUCUCGAGAGGAACGCUAAUACCACACACGCCCUACGGGAGAAAGGGGGGGAUCUUCGGAGCUCACGCUAUCAGCUGAGCCUGGGUCGGAUUAGCUAGUUGGUGAGGUAAAGGCUCACAAAGGCGACGGUCCGUGACGGGUCUGGGAGGAUGAUCAGUCACACUGGAACUGAGACACGGUCCAGACUCCUACGGGGGGCAGCAGUGGGGAAUAUUGGACAAUGGGCGAAAGCCUGAUCCAGCCAUGCCGCGUGUGUGAAGAAGGUCUUCGGAUUGUAAAGCACUUUAAGUUGGGAGGAAGGGCAGUAAGUUAAUACCUUUCUGUUUUGACGUUACCAACAGAAUAAGCACCGGCUAACUUCGUGCCAGCCGCCGCAGUAAUAC
rnacentral:rRNA from 1 species